CGAAUAAUAAGAUUUUAGAAAGAGUUGAAGAUAUUUUGGGUACAAAAGAGAGAGGGAUCGGAGGAGAGUGAGAAAGACUGAGGGGGAGAGGAAAGCAGUCACAGAUCCAGCGGCAGAGAGAUGGCGGAACCCAGAUGCAUAAUGAAAAGCACAAAAGAAGAAAGUAGUGGCAAGAAACUGACAUGGAUCGAGUGUAUAUGGCCAAUCAUACAACAUCUCGUGACUCGGGACUUAUUACAGAGUAUUGGUUGCCAACAGCAAUUUCGUUAGCCCUUGAUGCGCCAUAGCCAUGGUUAUGACUAGCUAAUUCGACUUUCAUGAGCAUCACACUCACAUUUAUUAUCCAUGGAUUUCAUACCUGCGUUUGAUUUCGUGGCUUUGAGCCGUGUUUGGUUAGCAUUACCCUUGUGGACUGUGUGUCCAUAUUUGUUUUAUAACUUAGGCUGCAUUUGGUUAUUUAUCUUCGAGGACUGUGUGUCUACAUUUG